rnacentral:sRNA from 1 species
CAGUGAGCUAGCUUUUGAGUUUUCCCUUCUUUUUAUACUGUUUUCUGCGCUGGCUUUUUUGAAUCUUCCUAAUUUUUCAUCUCUUUAACAAACUCCUAUGAAGUUGAAACCGGGAAGUUUGCUCUAACAUUUCCAGAGAAGGUAUUAAGUCAUGAUGCAGGAAUCUGUGACAGAGACAAUAAGCAACAGUUCAAUGAAUCAAAAUGGAAUGAGCACUCUAAGCAGCCAAUUAGAUGCUGGCAGCAGAGAUGGAAGAUCAAGUGGUGACACCAGCUCUGAAGUAAGCACAGUAGAACUGCUGCAUCUGCAACAACAGCAGGCUCUCCAGGCAGCAAGACAACUUCUUUUACAGCAGCAAACAAGUGGAUUGAAAUCUCCUAAGAGCAGUGAUAAACAGAGACCACUGCAGGAAUUGCUUCCAGAAACAAAAUUAUGUAUCUGUGGCCACUCUUCUGGUGAUGGGCAUCCUCACAACACAUUUGCAGUGCCUGUGUCAGUGGCCAUGAUGACUCCCCAGGUGAUCACCCCUCAGCAAAUGCAGCAGAUCCUUCAGCAACAAGUCCUGUCUCCUCAGCAGCUCCAAGCCCUUCUCCAACAACAGCAGGCCGUCAUGCUGCAGCAGGUAAUGUGGGUUACCUGCUUUGGUGUUCUAGCAUGACUUAGAAGGUGUGCACUUAUGUUGAAAGUGCAGUGGGCAUAUUUGACAAUUCAGUCUCCAUUUGAAAGGACAACCUAUUAGCUUGCUAGAACAUAAAUGUAACAUUUUAAUUAUAGAACUCGUAAGAAAAUCUAGAUUGCUUGGUUUUUUAAAAAAAUUAUUAAAGUCUAGAAUAAGAGCAGAGAGAGGUGUAAUUUGAAAAUGGAAUGAGCCUAUUUUUAAAUAUUCAAAUGCUUAGGUACAUUCAAUUUGUUGACUUGCCAAAAAAAA